ensembl:lncRNA
ACUUAAUUAGACAUAUGUGUAUAUAGAUGUGUGUGUGUGUCGGACUGACAGUCUUCCUUCGUCUACCUCCAUGUUCAAACCUCUCCUUCCACCCGGUGUUGGAUGCAUUGCUCUGCCUUCCUUCUCCCCUCUUGCCUCACGUCCCACCAUCCCCCUCCCGUCCCUCUGUCCUUCAUUCUCCGAGACGGACAUUAAAGCGAGCUUUUCCCCGGCUGACCUGCAGCUCACCCCUUACCUCCACACCAUCACACACCCCGGACGGAGGGCGAGUCACAAGAGCGGCCGUGCGGCGUGGAGCAGGACCCGGAUCUCGAUCCAGAUCUGGGUUUCCACGGGGAUCUUAUUCGGGCCUCUCUCGGGCGCAGACUCCGGACCGACUUGAUCAAAAUAAAGGAACGCGAGAUUGCGGGGGAGAGAGAAAGAGAGGAAUGUUGUAAAUCGUGUUUCCCAGGGAGAGAAGGAGAGAGACCUGUGAUUGCACUCAGGCGAGCGACUCCUCUCACAUGUGUCCGUUCUGGGGGGAGAAAGAGUGGAACCAAUUCUGACAGCCAUCUAAUUCCAGGCACGUGCUCCUUUCGGCUUUUCUCACGACCCUCAUUUGACGCAGUCACAUUGCUGACCUAUGGAUCCGUUUGUUUGGCGAGCACAAACUGCGGCUCAUGUGAAUCAGAUGUUCAGGAGAGGAGGCCGAGUGCUCCUCAGCUGCCCGGCAGCUUAGCCGGAGGAGGAGCACCUGUUUGCGAAUAAAUCUUCCGAUAAAAAAUGAUAUACUGUAGCUCGACGAUUCGUCUGGAAAUGUUGAAAUACACACUGCGCUUUCACUCCCACGCCCCCCCCCCCCAUCCAUCCCCCACGCACUCCCCUUAUCUUUAGUAAAACCCAGAAUUCAGGAUUCAAAGCAGAGGCCAGAGUCACAUGUCCGGCUCCGUUCCACACCACCGGCACUCGCCCUCUUCUGUGGCCCCCAACAAAGGACACCCGAACAGGGAGGAUUCCACCUUGAAGCUUUUGAAGCGUCUGGAAAAUAUUGAAGUGGGUUAGAAAUUUGAGCUAUUUAGUUUUUGCUCAACGGCUGCUUCUGGGUACUCGUGCUACUCGAUGCGAAACUUUACACUGCAACAAAAGAAAGUCAACAUGUAGUUUGCUGUCAAUGUCCACAAGGAUCAAACUUUUAAUUUAGCCGGACAAGUUAACUUUAGACUCAAAGUUUGUCAAAUUUGCUGUAGAAGACAGAAGAAAAACGAGUUGUGGCAAAUGGGGGCAACGAUAAAAUGAAUUCCAACAACCCGUGAGGUAAUAAUGUCUUGCGUGGCAUUUAAUGCAAAGGAGCUCGAAGUUAUCCAGCAAACCCGAGAUGAAGCUACAAUAAACCUUUUUCCUCAUAUUUAGUAGUACUCACCAAGUCGGCACAGGUUCCCUUUCACACACACACGUUAUUUAGUGUGUCUAUAUUGUCAUCUAGCAGGAUCCAAUUCAGGUUUGGCUGCUUCACUUUAAAUACCCAAUUUCAGCCCAAAGUAAAGAAAGAAGGGAGAAACCUUGUGCCAAAAGGUCAUAAAUUGUAGAAACAGAGCCGUGUUUGCAGGGAAUUGAGUGCCAGCAGAAGCUCCCUUAAAGAGCCAAGUGGUCCGUGCUUCUCCCAGAGUUUAACCCUCUCACCUCUCCUCAUUGGCCGCGCUUUUAUUCAGAGGGAUGAUUUAUUGGAGCUCACGAGGGAGAAAUACAAGACCGGCGCGGCCAUCGGCCCGGCCGGUGAUGAAUGGCCCACGCUGCUAUCUUCAUCUCGAGUGGGACCCUACGGCUCCAAUGGGCAAGUGUGGGCGGGGGGGUUCACUUGUGUGUGUAGGCUGGGGUGGUGUUUGCAUACAAUGCGCUGAUGGAGGGAGAACUCAUACGAACGUCUGUUUUGGUGGAACGGAUUUGGCUGAAUUUAAUUUUUUUUGCAAUAAAAUAAAAACACAAUGGAAAUAGUUUUUGAUGUCUUUAAUAUACUGUCUCCAUUUAUCUUUUUUUGCCCCCCCCCCCCCCCCACCUCCCCCUGCAUCCCUGGUCCCGCCUCCUGGAUGCCCCAAUCCAACACAAGCCCCUCUUCUCCCCAAAGGAAAUUCUUUGGAAAGUCAUUUUAUAUCACCCUUUGACUGUGCAUUGAACUGUAAAACCACCCCAUUGGAAACAAAAUAAAAGGAUGGCGAGGGGGGUGGCGAGGGGGGUGGGGCAAGGAGGAGAAUUAUAAUUCUUUGCAGGCCUUUGGUAUUAACCCAAACACCAGAGCUGUCAGCAGUUCAGAGAGGGAGGUGCGAGGGGCAAACAUUCAGUGUUAAUUGGCACUUUGUAAGCUCUGAGCCUUCCUUUUGUGAGGGGAAGUGGAAGAGAGUGAGUGAGCAGGGGGGGGGGGGGGGGGGGGGGGAGUGGUCAGCACAGAGGGGGGGGGAGAGAGAGAGGGAGAGGGAGCUCUUGUUCCUGUAGGUUUGUCGGGCCUUGUUGAGGGUGUUUACGGUUCACUUCUUAUCCCUUGUUAAUUGGGCUUUCUCGCCCCCCAAUGAAAAAAAGAAUUCAUGUAACCCCCCCCCCCCCCCCCCCCCCCCCCCCCCCCUGUCCCCCCCCCCCCCCCCCCCUCCCAGCCUGAUCAGCAACAGAGGGAUACAUGACCAGAGCAGGACAAAAGGAUCGUCCUGCGAACAUCAUUAAACUGAAACUGUGAGGGUCGGUGCUGCGGCGCUAAGCCCGCGCACAUACAAGUAGAGAAUAAAAUUAUCACAAGACAAAUAAUCAGCAGCAACCCCCCCCCCCCCCCCCCCCCCNNNNNNNNNNNNNNNNNNNNNNNNNNNNNNNNNNNNNNNNNNNNNNNNNNNNNNNNNNNNNNNNNNNNNNNNNNNNNNNNNNNNNNNNNNNNNNNNNNNNUAGGUGCAGGAUGUAAAAACAGCCCGUCGGUCCUCUUUGUGGACGCUCUCCUUCCCCCGACGUGUUUGGAGUUAUCGGAAAUAAUUAGAGAGGAAGAGAUCGGAGGGCAGCGGUCUCUGAAAGAGAGACGGGCAGAGGGGGGAGGGAGGGGAGGGGGGGGUGAGGGCAUGAGGCUGGUGCUGCACAGCACCCCUGGCCUCUCUCUGCCUCUGCCUCGCUCUCCCACCGGCUGAUGUAAAUGAUAAUAGCGCCGGUGCUGAAAGGACACAGGUGUCGACCAUUGUGCCUCUCUGAAUGGACCUGGGGGAGGGAGGUCAGGGGUCACGGGGCCUCUCACACCCACGGUUUUCAUUCACGCCGCCGCCCCCUUUCAUUAGCUUUCCACCCCCCCCCCCCCCCCUCCCCUCCCCCCUCUAUCUCUCCCCUCUUUUGUUAUCAUAGCUCAAUGUUUGGGGAAAACUUUUCAGCGGUCAAACACAAGCUCCGUGUUCAGGGAGAUUAACAUUCUCUUCAACAUAUUCGAGUGACACGACGACGCAGAUCCACGGCACGUUUUAACAAGGGGAGGCCAAUGAAAUUUGAUUUUUAAUAUAAGUUGCCUAUAAGUCACAUAUUACAAAUUACUGUAGUGGAUUUGCUUCACUACGAUGCUACAGUUGCUACAAAUAUUAUAUAUACUAUAUGAACCAAAUCUGAAUCUACUUUCCAUCGUGAAGGCCUUUAAAGGAAAUACGCCUCUUCACUUUCUCACUGAGCGAUGGGAAGAUGAUACCGCCAUCAUUUAAAUACAGAGCAGGAAACUGCAGUGAUCAGGUUAGCUUAGCUUAGCACAAAGACUGGAUAGAAAGUACCUCGAAAGAGGACUAAUUUACAUGCUACAUCUAAUCUGUUUUAUACAACAUUAUAUAUAUAUAUAUAUGGACAUGGACAUUGUCUUUUAUUUGCAUAAGAACGUUAAAAUGAUUUUGAGCUGUGGCCGAACAACUAGUGGCGACUGGUCCUAAUGCUAAGCUAAGCUAAUCGGCUGCUACCUCUGGAUACACAUUUCCACUACACACACACACACACACACACACACACACACACACACACAGGUAUCAACUUCUCCCUUAACUCUCAAAUAAUCGUACAACAUUUUGAAAUGUCAUUAAAAAAGAGUGAAUUAAAUCCAUUCAACUGAGCGACCAAUUACGCCAACAGCGUUUCUAACUGCAUCUUCUGGUGCGUGAAGUUUCGUUCGGUACCCGCCGUCUUUCUUCAAGGAGAGCCGUCUCCUGAUAACACAUCAGUGAGUUAACCUCACCUCAUGGUUCAGUCUCCCACUUCCACUUAUUCACAGCCCGUUGGUCUCAAGCCAGCGAAUGAUGAAUGUCACACGCACACAUGAGACGCAUACAAGCCGGCCGGCACGCAUGACACAACGCACGUGUGUGCGCGUGUCCAUCAAGGCCGCUCUCUCUGCAGCGCUCAAAGCAACCGAUGGGCGAAGCCGGACGGAGAUUUGUGGGCCGCUGUCCCUUUGUGCUCAAAGGAGCAGCACAAAGAAAUGGACCGUAAAUUGGGCGUCGGUGCUCGAUGGUGGAGGCGCCGUCGCCACGGGACAGGUGACUGUUUAUGGUCUGCAACGUGGAACUUCUGCCGCCUCAGCAAACGUGGUGCGCAAAUACUCAGCCGAGGACACGCGGAACCACCAUCACUAAACCCCCGGAAGUGGGAGUCCAACUGGCCAAUCGCGUGUGUGUGUGCACACGAAGCACGAAGGACGUGCAGCACGAAGAUGUGCACGAUCUUCGUGCUGCGUGUUGCGUGUGUGAUGCAGUGAGAUCCAUGCGUGGUGGAGAUGGAGACGCUGGAGAAGGGUGCGAGGACUCAUCCCCUGCCAUUGGGAUCACUAAUCUGUUGCAGGUGUCCCCCCCCCCGAGACGGAAGGAGCGCCAUCUGAAGAGCGAUUAAACCAUCUACGCAAUCCUGUCACAUCAUGUGUCAAGAUCCGGUUCCAUCUGUCAUAUUUCCGAGAGACCAAACACAAAAAAGUCUGAGAAGACGGCAAACUUUCAGAUUAAAGAUUCAGGGCCUGUUCGUGCUCAUCCGGGAGAGAAGGCUCUUUGUUUUGGUUCCGCAACUUUUCAAAUCGCACUAUAAUCUUUUGUCGAGCUGUUUGUGUGCGACAAUGACAACUCACUCUGAGUAUGCGGUGAAAAAAAACCAACCACUUUUAUCAGCAGGGCGCAACCUCUGGGAUGCAUUACAAUGAAGAACCGACCGGCAGGAUGGAUUGAGCCAACAGCCUCACGGGGGGGGGGGGGGGGGCCUGGGGUGCUUUUGGGGGAUGACGAACAAAGACACAAAGAGAAAGUCCCGCUCUGCAGGACGUCCGCGACGCCCCCCAGGGUCAACUUUGAGAGGAGAGCGGAGAACGGAGUGAGGCCGAGAAGAGUGGAGAUGGAGAGGAAAUCCAGCGGUGGAGAACAGUGAAGACGGG